rnacentral:rRNA from 1 species
AGUGAACGCUGGCGGCGUGCUUAACACAUGCAAGUCGAACGCGAAAGGGGGAGCAAUCCCCGAGUAGAGUGGCGAACGGGUGAGUAAUGUGUGGGUAAUUUGCCUUUCAGCGGGGGAUAACCCGGGGAAACCUGAGCUAAUACCCCAUAACAUGACCUGGUCUUCGGAUCGAGUCAUCAAAACGAUGGCCUCUGCUUGCAAGCUAUUGCUGGAAAGAUGAGCCCCACANCCUAUCACGCUUGUUGGUGGGGUAAUGGCCUACCAAGGCGACGACGGGUAGCCGGCCUGAGAGGGCGUACGGCCACACUGGAACUGAG